UAGCUCUUCAACUGUUUCGGUACUUAUACAUCCCUCGGAUUUCAAAUGUUUGGCAUUGAGCGUUCCUGAUGAAGGUAAAUCCAGAAAAGCGCUUCGGACGCAUGGAAUUAUUAAACGUGUUGUUUCCAAUUUUU